AUCGAACGCUGGCGGCAGGCCUAACACAUGCAAGUCGAGCGGAUGAAGGGAGCUUGCUCCUGGAUUCAGCGGCGGACGGAUGAGUAAUGCCUAGGAUUCUGCCUGGUAGUGGGGGACAACGUUUCGAAAGGAACGCUAAUACCGCAUACGUCCUACGGGAGAAAGCAGGGGACCUUCGGGCCUUGCGCUAUCAGAUGAGCCUAGGUCGGAUUAGCUAGUUGGUGAGGUAAUGGCUCACCAAGGCGACGAUCCGUAACUGGUCUGAGAGGAUGAUCAGUCACACUGGAACUGAGACACGGUCCAGACUCCUACGGGAGGCAGCAGUGGGGAAUAUUGGACAAUGGGCGAAAGCCUGAUCCAGCCAUGCCGCGUGUGUGAAGAAGGUCUUCGGAUUGUAAAGCACUUUAAGUUGGGAGGAAGGGUUGUAGAUUAAUACUCUGCAAUUUUGACGUUACCGACAGAAUAAGCACCGGCUAACUCCGUGCCAGCCGCCGCGGUAAUAC
rnacentral:rRNA from 1 species